UCCUGAACCAGGGCCUUAGCUUGUAUUUUGGGGUGGAGGUGACCUAGUCAAUGCCACUAAAAAAAUCUAUUCAGCUGGUAUAAUCAACAUAGCUGCACUAAAUUCAAUAGCAGCUAUAUUAAUUUUAUACCAGUGAAGGGGCUGGGUAAAGAGCAGUAUGUCUUUGGUGCUUUGGAGUAGGCAGGAGACCAUAUUGUGUUUCAGAGUCCCAAUAUUUCUUCAGGAGAAAAUACCAUGCCCCAGAUCUACACCUGGAACAGGUUAUCCCAUCCCUCCUCCUUGCUACUCAGCUGUUCUGACCAGAGCAUUAGUGGGAGAAGCCCAGGUACUUUCACCCCCUGCACCGGAGAAGGAGCAGUACCUCUGUGGAUAUCCCACUGAGGGAAGGAGGCAGUAUCUUAUUUCCUGCUGUAACCUGCAUGGGAACAAAGGGUAUGUCAUAAUCGUGAUGCAUAUGACCCAUCCUAAUCAAAAGAAUCUGGUAUUACUACCACUCCAGAGAAGAAAAUAGACUCUUCUGUAUUCUCCUCAGCUCAGCAAUCUGCAAGCACCUGAGAUAAGCGUUUCUCCUUCUGAAUAAAUGCAUUUGAAAAUCAAGGCUCUAACUAAAGUUGGCACUUCUGAUCCACCCACUGUGCUUCUCUGCUGUCUACAUUGGAUCAACAGGGCAACUCUGAUGCAAAGGAACGAGGGGACGUUGAUCUGACAAAAGCCUUUGGCAGGAGACUUUAAAUUGCCUGGACUUUCCUGACCUCAGAAUAGCUGUUUUUAUCCAGUAAAACUUUGAAAGCCAACUUGAACGCAAAAUUGAGGAAAAGAAAUCAUCCACGCGCUGGUUUGUGAAUAAUACCUAGAGCUGUCAUGGAGUGCAACUCCAAAUCCCAUUGCUUAAAUUAAAGCCAGUUCUGAAGAGCAGAAGCACAACAACAUUGCACCAUAAAAAGAUUUUUAACUCCGACACGAUCUGCUUUCAGUCUGGAAGACGAUGCUUCUUGUUUACAGCCUGCAGAUCCUGGAAUCCACAGGUACAUUUCAUCACCUCCACCUUCAUUACUUGGAACUAAAACUGUCCUUGGCUUUUGGGAUGGCGAUAAAAUGUGCCUCAUAGUUGAUCCAAAUACAAAGAAUGACGCAUAACGGAAACAAAUGGAGCCUCCACAAUAUUCUAAUAUAAUAAAAGCUG